GUACGAGUACGAGUACGAGUACGGGGAGUACAGUCCCGCUCUUUUGGACUGGGCCAACGUUGCGUAUGAGUGCUGCGCCGUGCUGUGCGUGGGUGGCAGCCAUUUGAGCGUGCAUUUCUAAUGUCCAGAGAGUGGCGGAGUGGCAGAAUGGCAGAGGAGGGAGUGCAGACCAUUGUUAGCUGGUCCUUUUUGGCCAGUCUGCAGUUAGCCCCAAGCACAGGCACUGGCACAGGGCAUGCAAAUUUUUGCACUCUGCCCUCGUCGGAAGUUGCUGAAUUUUGAUUUAUGCCAACGAAAUUUAUGCCACACACUGUCUCCACUGGUUUAAAGUUUCCCCCAAAAGCGAAAACAAAAUGGCUUUAACUUGGGCAGCAUCAGAGACAGAGUUUCAGGCAUCAACGUGAAUAAAUUUCAUUAUCUGACGGUUGCAUCUCGUACACAAAAUCAUCAACUUUUGCCUUGUCAGACAUUAUAAACGGUCUGCACACGCCUCAUUUAUUAUUUAUUGUAUUUCUGUUGUGUUCACUUGGGCUUGCGCUUGGAAUCGGGUACGGCUCUUCUUGUAAGCAAAUUUCCCCAAACAAAC
rnacentral:lncRNA from 1 species